GUAUUCCUUAAGGAUAUUUCCAGAAGUACUUGUAUUUACGAUACUCGAUAGGCACGCGCGACUGCACGAACAAGAUUUCCACCAAAAAACAAAAAGUGACCCAGAAGACCUAAUUAUUGUUCCUCUUCUCUCUUUUUUUCACACCAAUCCUCUGCUAUGCUCCAUUUCAAAAACUCUUUUUCUUUUAAAGGGGCAACUUCACUGCUUAGUUGCAGCGUCCAAUAAUCAGGUUUUAAUUAGUUGGUCUUAAUGUUCUGUGGAAUUUUCUUGAUCAGGGCUGUCAUGCUUCGGUCCCUUUGGAUGACAGCAAUGGUUAUAAAAAUCAUUCCAUACCCAAUCAUACCUUGAAAAGGCUUGGCCAGGGUGUACUUUCAUGUGCUGAUAUUGUUUCUAUUGCCACCAGAGAUGGGAUUAUGCUGCUAACGGUUUUAGCAACAGCUUAAGGUUUAGGAUUUGAUGAUUGAUUGUGGAUAAUGAUGCUUAAAUGAAACUUGGGGAAAAUGCUGGUGGCCCUUUCUAUCUCUUUAACAGGACGGAGGGAGAGCAUUCAUUCAUAUUUCAAAGCACUGGCCGACAUUCCACAACCAGAUGAGAAAAAUGCCAAGUCAGCUUAUGGAUUUGAGAUUGUUCAAAUGGUUCUUGUGGACACUGAACAUGAUGAACAUGUGAAGAGGACUAUGAGUGAGAUAAAUGCGAUUGCAAGAAUGAAGGUGGUGGCUAACGAGAAGGCUGAAGCAGAAAAAAUUCUGCAAAUAAAACAUGCCAAGGGAGACUGAGCAUGGUAAGCAUGCCAGCAUCAGACCAUUGAAGUUGGGCUGAGGGACAGUGUGCUUGCUUUCUCUGUGAAUGUACCCGGGACUAUGUCAAGGGAUGUCAUGGACAUGGUUCUGGUGACUCAAUAUUUAGACACAAUGAAAGAAAUUGGCGCAUUGUCAUCACAUACGGACCAAGUGCUGUGAAAGACAUUGCUUCACAGAUUAGAGAUGGCCUCCUUCAAGCAAAUACCACUCAAAAUUAGUGACUUUGUCCCAACAUAUAUGUUGCACGAGUGGCUUUUCUAAUGGUGUAUGAAAUGAUUGGUGCUAGUAUCUAAGAGUUGUCUUUUAUUCUUCUUUUACUUUCCAAAUUAUUUACUUGAGUGAAGAUAGGAGCUAGGGAUUGUCUUGCAAGUUGCAACUUAGUGGUGUGGUGUGUAUUCAUGGUGUUGAACUUGGCCAUAGUAUUCGCAAUAUUCUUUUAUAGGAUGAGAUGGUACUGAUUUGGGUAAUUUUGUGGAAUCCUCUGUUGUUAUAUGAUAUUUUGUAACUGUUGUCUGUAUUUUGUGAAUGGUUCCCUUCGGUAGGUUUGCUUUGGGAACAGACCAAAACUUGCAGUGGUUGUGGUUUUUGAGAACAGACCACUGGACGAUAAUGGCACAAGCCAUGGAAGUAGUGAAAUUCAUCUGUAUCUUAUCAAGCCA